UCUAAUCGGAUCUCAUCCAAUUCAUUCAGUUGCAACUUCCUUUCCUCUCCAGCUUGGUCAAUGGAGAAGUUGCAAGUCUUCACAGCCCAGUAUGCCCGAUGCUCAAUCUCAACUGGUAAAUGAGAUGCCUUUCCAAAGACAACCCGAUAGGGAGACAUCCCUAUGGGUGCUUUGUAGGCAGUCCUGUGGGCCUAAAGAGCAUCGUCCAACCUAUUGCUCCAAUCCUUCCUGUUGGGCUGGACAAUCUUCUCCAAAAUCCUCUUAAUCUCUCUGUUAGAGAUCUC
rnacentral:lncRNA from 1 species